AUUGAACGCUGGCGGCAUGCUUUACACAUGCAAGUCGAACGGCAGCCUGGGUGCUUGCACCUGAUGGCGAGUGGCGAACGGGUGAGUAAUGUAUCGGAACAUAUCCGCAAGUGGGGGAUAACGUAGCGAAAGUUACGCUAAUACCGCAUAUUCCCUGAGGGGGAAAGGAGGGGAUCCGCAAGGACCUUUCGCUUACGGAGUGGCCGAUAUCAGAUUAGCUAGUUGGUGGGGGAAAGGCCUACCAAGGCGACGAUCUGUAGCGGGUCUGAGAGGAUGGUCCGCCACACUGGGACUGAGACGCGGCCCAGACUCCUGCGGGAGGCAGCAGUGAGGAAUUUUGGACAAUGGGGGCAACCCUGAUCCAGCCAUGCCGCGUGAGUGAAGAAGGCCUCCGGGUUGUAAAGCUCUUUCAGCUGGAAAAAAAUCGCAUCACCUAAUACGAGGUGUGGAUGAUGGUACCAGCAGAAGAAGCACCGGCUAACUACGUGCCAGCCGCCGCUGUAAGAC
rnacentral:rRNA from 1 species